ACGCCACAGCCAGGGGCGCCCGCGAUACACGAGGCGGCAGCACCGCCACCCAGCCAGGGGGAGACUCUGCAGCGCCGCCGGGAGGGAAGGGCGGACGCGCCUCGCUCUCACACUCCCUCCCCCUGGCCGCUAGGGGAGAACCCGCCUGCCUCACCCCAGAACUAGACAAGUCUGAAGCUGAGUGCGAGCGGCGGCGGGUCACAGCCAAUCCGGAGCCAGAACCUCGAGAGGGGCGGCCAUCCCCAGCCAAUCACUGCGCUCCGCGAGCGAGGCCUCAGCAAGGUGACUAACAAGCAGACCAUCAGGAACACCGCUCUCCCGAAACUGGCAUUGUCCCUGGCCUGUUGUUGUGAUGGUGUAGCAAGAUACAAAAAGCAAACAAGUCCACCUUGGGAGGCCCCCACCUUUGGAAGAUGAACCCGGUGAUUUUCAAGUGAAGAAACCACUCAUGGGCUCUUGUCUUGGAGGCACCAAGAAAUGAGGAGGCUGCUGGGGCCUGAAGUGCUUCCUGGAAGUCAAUGGAGCAUAAAGGCCUAAAGAUUGUAGGGUGGCCCUUGAGUCCUUUCGGCUGUGAAGUCUUGAAGGGGAAGUCCUGGACGGACUGUUGGACCUUGUGAGGAAGCCCCAAGAAUUGGAGCCAAGAACACCACCUCAUGGUGACAACGGAGGCCAUUGUCCUGGCGGCCGAGUCGGCUGCAUCCAGAGCCACCUGGAGAGAGGUCCUGGCCACAUCUUACCCUCUUCCAAGAGGGCAGUGAACUCCUGCCUUGAAUUUUGGGUCAGAGAGAGAGUUUUUAAAUUUAGCCAGGGAGUACCAUGGAUUAUAAAUCGUAUCUCUCCAGCAAAACUCGCUGGUUAGAGAUACAUAGUUGAAGGCUACCCUUUGAAUAAACCUUUCUGAAAAAGUC